rnacentral:rRNA from 1 species
ANCACGGCUGACCUACAUGCAGGUGAUAAUCUCGAUGACCUAAGGGAAACUGCGAACCGGUAUACGCCUCGCCUGAGGGAAAUGGGACCUAAGCCUCCGUUUACGACAGCGACGUCGAUGAGCUAUUGCUGAGGUAAAGCUUACCAGGCGACGAUCAUAGCGGUCUGAGAGAUGAAUCCGCCACACUGGGAAUGAAGACCGGGCCCAGACUUCUUACGGGAGGCAGCAGUGGGGAAUUUUGGACAAUGGGCGCAAGCCUGAUCCAGCCAUGCCGCGUGUCUGAAGAAGGCCUUCGGGUUGUAAAGGACUUUUGUUCGGGAGGAAAUCCCGCUGGUUAAUACCUGGCGGGGAUGACAGUACCGGAAGAAUAAGCACCGGCUAACUACGUGCCAGCAGCCGCGGUAAUACGUAGGGUGCAAGCGUUAAUCGGAAUUACUGGGCGUAAAGCGUGCGCAGGCGGUUGUGCAAGUCUGAUGUGAAAGCCCCGGGCUUAACCUGGGAACGGCAUUGGAGACUGCACGACUAGAGUGCGUCAGAGGGGGGUAGAAUUCCACGUGUAGCAGUGAAAUGCGUAGAGAUGUGGAGGAAUACCGAUGGCGAAGGCAGCCCCCUGGGAUGACACUGACGCUCAUGCACGAAAGCGUGGGGAGCAAACAGGAUUAGAUACCCUGGUAGUCCACGCCCUAAACGAUGUCAACUAGCUGUUGGGGGUUUGAAUCCUUGGUAGCGUAGCUAACGCGUGAAGUUGACCGCCUGGGGAGUACGGCCGCAAGGUUAAAACUCAAAGGAAUUGACGGGGACCCGCACAAGCGGUGGAUGAUGUGGAUUAAUUCGAUGCAACGCGAAAAACCUUACCUGCUCUUGACAUGUAACGAACUUGGUAGAGAUAUCUUGGUGCCCGAAAGGGAGCGUUAACACAGGUGCUGCAUGGCUGUCGUCAGCUCGUGUCGUGAGAUGUUGGGUUAAGUCCCGCAACGAGCGCAACCCUUGUCAUUAGUUGCCAUCAUUCGGUAAGCACUCGUAUGAGGCGGCGGCAAC